rnacentral:lncRNA from 1 species
CGGUGUAUUGCGGUCACAUCAAAAGUGAUCGAGAUUAUAUAAGAUUAAUCGGGAGCACGCGUUCUUGAUUAGCGUGGAUCACGUGGACAAUGGGCCCAGUGGGACAUAUAAGUAAGGAUGAUUGUUUUAAUUGCUUCAUUCUUUUUUAAGUGCUGAUAAGUUGAUUACCCUGUUUUAAAGUGCUAAUUAGUUGAUAAGUAGAAUGCAUUUGCCUAUUACUUAUUUUGCUUGGGACUUUGAUGCCAUGUUGCACAUGUCAGUGUCAGUGUAGUGACAAUGUUAUUUUGUGUCAGGUGAAUGGACAGGCGGGUGAAAUUGUUUUGAGCAAAAAUGUGACAGAAAAAUGCAAGGAUGCGACGACGCUGUCUGCGGCGGGUGAUGGAUUUGUUGUCGGAUUUAGGCUGGAAACGUCAAACAGAAGGAAGGAUGUUCAUAUAAUUCUACCAAAAACAACUUUGAGCUGUAGUGACGUAUUUACUAACCUUCGACUACGCACUAUGCGACGCUAAACGGAGAUGUUUGUGUCCACGUGACAAGUACACAUCCAACUUUGCCGACCGAACGUAAAAGACCGCCCAUCUAUCCAGUUCCGGUUCCAGGCAGACAGACAGGAUGACGGUAAUGGUGAUGAUGAUGAUAACGAUGAUGAUGAUGAUGAUGAUAAUGAUAAUGAUGGUGAUGACAGUAAUGAUGAAGAUGGUAAUGAUGAUGAUGAUGAUGACAGUAAUGAUGAUGAUGAUGAUGAUACUGGUGAAACGGAUACGUCCUCCACUUCAACAACCACAACAACAACAACAACAACAACGGGGUCUUCCAUAACGACACCAACUUCUACUAGAAGGAUAAUAGUUAUCCAAGCUCAUUUCCGGUAUGAAUGGGGCCUGGCUGUGGCCAUUACGGCGAUUAUCGGAACCGGAAUUAUAAUUCUGAUCAGAAUACGCAUCCGCCGUCGCAGACGACAUGAACAACCAAUACAGCUGAAUGAAGUAUCGACGACCACGGAUGACUGGGUAAUUAGACCAGGUACUGUUCCAAAGUCACCUAGACGGAGAA